GACGAACGCUGGCGGCGUGCUUAACACAUGCAAGUCGAGCGGAGCGGCGAACGGGUGGGUAACGCGUGAGUAACUGCCCCCCUCUCUGGGAUAACAGUUGGAAACGGGUGCUAAUACCGGAUAGUGGGGGAUGACUCGCGUCAAAUAGGCUUGUUGGUGGGGUAGUGGCCUACAAAGGCGACGACGGGUAGCCCGCCUGAGAGGGCGACCGGCCACAUUGGUCUGAGAGAGGGCCCAAUCGCCUACUGUGGGCAGCGGGGGGGAAUAUUGCACAAUGGGGGAGACCCUGAUGCAGCAACGCCGCGGGCGGGAUGACGGCCUUCGGGUUGUAAACCGCUUGCAGCCAUGACGCGGUAGUGGCAGAAGAAGCACCGGCUAACUACGUGCCAGCAGCCGCGGUAAUAC
rnacentral:rRNA from 1 species